rnacentral:rRNA from 1 species
UACGUAGGGUGCAAGCGUUAAUCGGAAUUACUGGGCGUAAAGCGUGCGCAGGCGGUUGUGCAAGACCGAUGUGAAAUCCCCGGGCUUAACCUGGGAAUGGCAUUGGUGACUGCACGGCUAGAGUGUGUCAGAGGGGGGACUGGAAUUCUCGGUGUAGCAGUGAAAUGCGUAGAUAUCGAGAGGAACACCAGUGGCGAAGGCGAGUCCCUGGACAACACCUGACACUGAGGCACGAAAGCUAGGGGAGCAAACAGG